rnacentral:misc_RNA from 1 species
GAAUGUGCGGCGACGGCGCAAGCCUGAGCCAGCCAAUCUACCCUUGUGCAAUGUACCGUACCCUGGCGGGGAAGGGCUUCGGCCCAACCCCGUCAAAGGGCUUUCGAGCCCGCCCAACACUCUAAUCUUUGUCUGAACUUUACGAACCAAAUGAUCUAAACAACUUUUGACAACGGAUCUCUUGGCUCU